UUUUGGACCCGGCAUGCCCGCGCGGGAAGAGGGCGUCGUGGGUGUAUACGAUUUUGGCGGGGGGAGAAUAGUCCAUGGCGUGACAAUGAGGGUUCUUGGUGAAUAGGCACGGCUAGCUGCGGCCCAGCAGCCGCGGUAAUAGGUAGGGUCAAGCGUUGUCUCGGAUUUAUUGGUUUAAAGUGGUGCGUAGGUGCCUAUUAAGUCAGUUUGAAAUAUCCCCGGCUUACUCGCGAGGGUGGAUUGAUUCUGAUGGGCUUGAGUGGAAUCGAGGUAGGCAGAGUUGACGGUGUAGCGCUGAAAUGUUUAGAUAUCGUCAAGAACACCGAUAGUGUAGACAGCUUACUAGAGUUCAACUGACGGGAGGCACGAAAGUGUGGGGAUCAAACAGGAUUAGAUACCCUGGUAGUCCACACUGUAAACGUUGAUUACUCGCUGUGUGCGAUAUACAGUACGCGGCUUAGCGAAAGCGAUAAGUAAUCCACCUGGGGAGUAGGCCGGCAACGGUGAAACUCAAAGGAAUUGACGGGGGUCCGCACAAGCGGUGGAGCAUGUGGUUAAAUUUGAUGAUACGCGAGGAACCUUACCUGGACUAGAAUGCCCUUGAUGGGUCCGGAGACGGAUCGUUCCGCAAGGACAAGGAGCAAGGUGGUGCAUGGCUGUCGUCAGCUCGUUCCGUGAGGUGUUGGGUUAAGUCCCGCAACGAGCGCAACCCUUAUUUUUAGUUGCCAGCACAUAAUGGUGGGGACUCUAAAAAGACUGCCCGCGCAAGCGGAGAGGAAGGAGGGGAUGACGUCAAGUCAUCAUGGCCCUUACGCCCAGGGCUACACACGUGCUACAAUGGCGCAUACAAAGUGUUGCAAUCCGGUGACGGAAAGCCAAUCACAAAAAGUGCGUUUCAGUUCGGAUUGCAGGCUGCAACUCGCCUGCAUGAAGUUGGAAUCGCUAGUAAUCGCGCAUCAGCAAUGGCGCGGUGAAUACGUUCCCGG
rnacentral:rRNA from 1 species